CCCGCCGCCCGGAGCGCGCCGCGUGCGCCUGCAGCUCUCCACGCUAGAGGCCGGGCCCGAGGUGUCGGUGCGCGCGGCCGGCGAGCCCCAGAGCCUCAGGCCAAGGAACUGCAGUGGGGUGCUCAGAAGGAAAGGAACCAGUGAACACGGCUCCUCCUCACCUGGGCAGCAGGCAGGAAGGUGGAGAGCUGGGCUUUUGACAGAUUUGUUCAGCUCUGAUGAGCUUGAAUUUGGAUCCUCCUGCCUCCCCUGCAAGAAUGCUGGGAUCACAGACCACCCCGUGGCCCCAACGCCCAGGACCAGACUGAGACGGUGGCCGCCCCUGGCUCGGGCCACCAGGACCUCUUUGCCCCUGCUGUCUUCGCCUGGAUAAAUGGCUCUGCCCUCA